GUCUUCAUAUUCGGGGGACAUCCGAUCAAAACGAUACAAAGAAGAUUAGCAUGGUCCUUGGGCAAAGAUGACACGCAUAAAUCGAAAAAUGGUAUCAGAGCCA